AAGUCGUAACAAGGUUUUCGUAGGUGAACCUGCGAAAGGAUCAUUACCGAAAUGAAACGCAUUGCUUGCAAUGUACUCUGGCUGUAGGAGAAUGGGUAGCACCUCGUGUUACUUUUCUCCAAUCGCUGGUGGCGAGCGCUUUGCGGCGCAACCUGCUAGUGGUGGCAGUGGCCUGUCUCGCCGACGCGGACGAACACUGUUUCCUAAAACAAACUUUCACUUAUGUGUUAGUUUGCCUGUGCUUGAAAAGGAAACACAAAGCAGAAACAACUGCAAACGGUGGAUCACUCGGCUC
rnacentral:misc_RNA from 1 species